rnacentral:rRNA from 1 species
UACGAAGGGGGCUAGCGUUGCUCGGAAUCACUGGGCGUAAAGGGUGCGUAGGCGGGUCUUUAAGUCAGGGGUGAAAUCCUGGAGCUCAACUCCAGAACUGCCUUUGAUACUGAAGAUCUUGAGUUCGGGAGAGGUGAGUGGAACUGCGAGUGUAGAGGUGAAAUUCGUAGAUAUUCGCAAGAACACCAGUGGCGAAGGCGGCUCACUGGCCCGGUACUGACGCUGAGGUGCGAAAG